rnacentral:lncRNA from 1 species
UACAAGGCUCAGAAAACACCAAAAAAAAAGCAUCAGAGGGGGGAAAUGUAGGAGGCAGAGUAAGAAGACUGUGUAACACAAAGACAUCGUUUGAACAUGACAUGUAACACCCAUAAACUCACGGUAGCUGUGGUUAGCAGCACAGGAUUGGACACACAGCAUGGCUACAGGCAGACCUGUGAGAAUCUACCUGUCCCUGGGGAUCCAUUGGCAGUUAACGGUCUCUGAGGAAGGGAGUAUCAUUUUCUUCAGUGAUACAGCCCCUGGUAUGUUACUCUUGCUCCAGUAAGUAACCUCCUACCCAAUCUUGUGCAAGAAACCUAAUUAAACUCAGUGGGUCUCACACAAGAAGGAAGGCAUGAAGGUAGGAGGGAGAACUCUUUGGACAAAAUGUUCCAGCAGGAAAGGGAGGAUAAGAAAGGGAAUGGAGAGUACAAAUAACUUCAAUUCAUUAGAUAGAUAGAUAGAUAGAUAGAUAGAUAGAUAGAUAGAUAGAUAGGUAGGUAGGUAGGUAGGUAGGUAGGUAGGUAGGUAGGUAGGUAGGUAGNNNNNNNNNNUGUAGGUAGGUAGGUAGAUAGAUAGAUCUCUUAGAAAGUACUGUCAAAAUUUUAAUGGGAAAAAAAACAGUAGAUUGUCAGACAAGAAAACAGCUAAGAGAGGAAGAGAGUUAAACACCCAGGCCUGUUUUGGUGGCAUGUUUGGUGAGGUUGUAGAACCUUUAAGAGGCACUUUUCUAGGAGAACUAUAUUCUGGGGGCAGGUGUUAAGGGUUCAUAGCCUGGUUUCCACUUCCAGUCUUGGAUCACUGCUUGGGUUAAGAGUUGGAUAUACUAUCUCUCACACUUCUGGCCUGAUGGCUUGCAGCCAUGCAUUCCCCUAAUGCUUGUAGACUCCCCCUCUGGAACACCCUAAGCCGAAAGAAACUCCUUUGCUGCCCUGGUGUUUAUAGUAGCAACAGAAAAGUGGCUUACGUAAGUUUCCAGAGAACAUACAAGAUCUAUAUGGAAAUACUACUGACUUUUGCAUCACACAGUCUUACAGACCUCUCCUGGGUUUCUUAUAAAAUAAUUAACUUUGUCUGUAAGUAAUAAAAAUUUUGCCUAGUUAAAAAGUAUACUCACCAUUUACUUAUUUCCAAUAUAUAGGACUUGGAAUACUAUUUUGAACAUUAGCCAUCAACUGUGGUCAAUCCUGUCUUUUCUUAACUUAAAGAAAUCAAAGUAUCUUUCUGAAAUAUUACACUUCUUGGGAAAGGUUUUGUUAUACAAAAAUACUCUUUUAAUGCCAGUUAGUAACUAUCCUUGGGAAAUACUGCACAGAUGCACAGGGGAUGUGAAGGAGGUUUUUGCGAUUUCCAUUGCUGGUAACAUGCUGAAGAUCACUUAAGAACUCAGCACUUUAACGAUGGC